rnacentral:misc_RNA from 1 species
GGACAAUAACACUGUCCACCGCAUCAACAAUUUUCCAAUAUAAGACUCGUAGCCGCGGGAAGUGUAGAGUUCAACUGACUGUGGAUCAAAAUAUCUGAGGAAAAGGCCAUGAAUAUAGCUCUGAUACGCUGUAAGAGGAGGGUAAUCUAGACCCCAGUAUUUCAGAUCAUUGACAGUGCUAUUUCGGUACCAUUCUUUAACAGGGAGAUUAAGAGUGAUCUCCAUCCAAUGCCGCUGAGCCUCGUAAUCUCCAUACUUAGGCGGAGUUCCGGCGCCUGAAUAGGGGUGGAUUGAUACUGCAAUUCGCACCAAAAUAGCAAAGAGAGUGAUGCAAAUGAAGGAAGCUGUAGUGCCCUUUUGAGUAAGAAAUGACCAGAUGUUAGAUUCUGAACCAUCGCGCGAUGGCUUAGUUGCCUUGUUCGUCUUCUUCUCCAUUUCAGUCACCGGAGCCAAAAAGGGGAACUCAAUUCCGGUGGACGCGGGGUCGCAAUCAGUUCACGGCGGGGGAAGAAUCCAAUUCAACCCGCAAAGGAAUUCGGGCUGCUCCUAUA